rnacentral:tRNA from 5 species
GCCGAAGUAGCUCAGCGGUAGAGCACUCGAUUCGUAAUCGAGCGGUCGUGGGUUCAAAUCCCACCUUCGGCUCCA